rfam:Arthrobacter sp. PAMC25486, complete genome.
GGUCAUGAGUGUCAGCGCACAGCCCCGGCUUGCUGACCGGCAACCCUCCUUCCGCGGUGGGGUGCCCCGGGUGAGGACCUGGCAUCGAACCGACCGGUUCCGGUGCAAGCGCGGGCC